UACGUAGGUGGCAAGCGUUGUCCGGAUUUACUGGGCGUAAAGGGCGUGCAGGCGGUCUGUUAAGUGCAGGGUGAAAGCUCCCGGCUCAACUGGGAGAGGUCCUUGCAUACUGGCGGACUUGAGGGGGGUAGAGGAAAGUGGAAUUCCCGGUGUAGUGGUGAAAUGCGUAGAUAUCGGGAGGAACACCAGUGGCGAAGGCGACUUCCUGGCCUGUUCUUGACGCUGAGGCGCGAAAGCUAGGGGAGCAAACGGG
rnacentral:rRNA from 1 species